CGGCGGCACCAUGAGCAGCGGCGCCGCCGAGCGGGAGGGCCCCGCCGAGCCGGGCCUGCCCGAGGAGGAGGUGAGAACCCUGUUUGUCAGCGGCCUGCCCCUGGACAUCAAGCCCCGGGAGCUCUACCUGCUCUUCAGGCCCUUCAAGGGCUACGAGGGGUCGCUUAUCAAGCUCACCUCCAAGCAGCCCGUGGGGUUCGUGAGCUUUGACAGCCGCUCAGAGGCUGAGGCCGCCAAGAAUGCACUGAACGGCAUCCGCUUUGACCCUGAGAUCCCCCAGACGCUGCGGCUGGAGUUUGCCAAGGCCAACACCAAGAUGGCCAAGAGCAAGCUGGUGGGCACUCCCAACCCCAGCGCGCCCCUCCCCAACACCGUACCUCAGUUCAUCGCCAGGGAGCCCUAUGCGCUGGCUCCCUCCCUCCGAGGCUGGGUCUCAGGGCUGGAAAUCCCGUCAGUUCUGCUGAAUGCUGUGUCUCGGGUGUGUGAUGGCGGCCGACGGUCAGUCUUGUGGGUAUGAACAGAGCCCCCCGGCGGCUGCUGGGCACGCACGCUCUCCACAGAACCACAGUGUGCUGGCUAGGAAGAAACCUCACACAAGUCUGGAUUCCUCCAAGACUUUCCCACAGCCUCUAUCACACAUCUGUUCUCCUAGAAGAAAGUGAGAAGCAUACCCAAUAUAUUUCCCUCUUUUACACUGUAUAUUUGUAAGAAAGAGCGUGUUACUGAUGAAAGCAUGGUUUGACAGGCACUGCUGUAGCGUUUGAAAAGUAUUUUCAAACACCCCUAGGAAAGCAGACUGCAAAAAAAAAAAAAAAAAGCAAAGAGCAAGUAUUUUUGUACCAAACUUCUGAACAGGACAAUCUCACACUGGGCUGGAUGACAGUUUUUGUGCUCAACCUCCAGCAGCACGCCCUUAGCAGCCUGCCCCCCCCAUCCACGGGCCACACACCAAAGGCCACAACACAUGCUGCCUCAGCACAGUCUGUGGUGUUCACAGUGCUCCGGUGACAGCAUUGCCACUGCACCCCAACGCUCUGCCAGCAUUGGGGUUCCCUUCCUGUCUGCAGCACGUGGCGCCAGCCAUGACAGGCAGAUUUCUUACCUUGGCACGAUGCUAACGGCUUGCUGCACAGCUCCGGCAAGGUGUGAUGCUCGCUUCAGGGAUGGGCAGAGACAGUCCACACACGUAGCAAGGUGAGAAUUCGCCUUCUCAUUCCAUGGCUUCUCCAAGAUGUUAAGGGCAAUGCAGACUGAUGUGCAAGGAGCUGGACUUUCUGAUCCCCGCCAACUCCGGGCCGUGGGACUGGGAUACGCACCCAUGGCUGCAGGGCUCUACUGCAGCUUCAGCACCUGGUGAUGCCAGUCUGGCUGCAGAGCAUGUCUAUGUGGAGCAGAGCCCAAGGGAGGCUGCUGGUAGCACAGGGUGGGAUGGAUCCAGCACAGGGACUGCGUGCUGGCAUCCUCUUUGCACCAGGAGAAACUGGCGUGAGGAAGAGUAAAGCAAAGCAAAAAAAAAAAAAAAAAAAUCAACCCAUUUGUUUCUUCACAAAGGAGGUGCCAACCCCAUCUCCAUUAACUGCCUGAGCAGAACUCCCAGCCUCUCUCCCUCCUCCAUUUUCUGCUUUGGCCACAAGCAGCAGGGAACAAGGCUGCCAGAGCUGUCCAGGUGAGGGCAAGAAGGGGGUGCCACAGAGCCACCAGCAUGCAGCAGGUUGGGCAGCGGUGCCUCGAGCAAGGUAGCUCUGCAGGGACAGCACAGCGCUCCCAGCAAUGGACUAUUGUAGCAAACCGUUUCCUGUGUUUUGUUCUGGUUUUGUGGAGAGGAAAGGAGCUUCCAUGUUGUCUUCUCCGCUUUUGGAAAUAUGUUUAAAGGUACUUUUCUAUUGUAAUUUUUUAAAAAUAAAGCCAGUGAUUAUUGUAAGUUAA